GGGGGGGGGGGGCAGGGUUAAAAAAACUUUUUUUAUCAGUCAGAGGAUAAUGCAAGUGUUUAACAGAUGCUUCACUAUUAAAAUAUUUUCCCCCCAAGUCUCAAAUAUUGAAGAAUCUCUAACCAGAAGGCACAGAUCAUUCAUGGGGAUGUAUAACCGAAACCAGUCCUCUCCACCGCCUGGGGAUCUUCACUUUCGCAGUCUACGACUGCCUGUGACUCCAGAAAGACAAACUGCAGAUUGGCCAAGAUGGGGAAAUUGAGGCAGAGAAGCCAAGACAUGUGCUAAAGGUCAUGCAGGCUAUGAAUGGAGCUGGAAUGUGAACGCAGGCCAUAUGACCCCAGAGCCCAUGUUCUUGAACCCUUAGAAAGACAGCAGCAACACACCUGGUGCAGCAGCUGCUUAGUUGGAGUGGCUGACAAGGUUGGCAGAGGAUCCCGUUCCUCCCGUGGAGUGGCUGCCAUGAUACUGCCUGCACUGAAGCUGCUCCUAUUUCUGAAAUAUGUAUUGUUAUUUUUUUCCCUGCAUGUUGAACAUUAUACUCUUCUGUUCUUUCGCAUUCUCUUCUUCCCUUCCGGAUGACUUCUAGGGUUUUUGUGAUUCUGUAAUUCUAAAGGAGAAAGGAUAAUAAGAAUUGUGAGGCCGGGCGCGGUGGCUCAUGCCUGUAAUCACAGCACUUUGGGAGGCCAAGGUGGGCGGAUCACUAGGAGAGAAUGAUUUCCAGGAAGAGCGGAACACAUAUGGAAGGCCUUAGCUUAUCUUUAGCGCCUCAUACACCCGUUCUGGACUUCAGAAAGGCCAGUGAGUGGGAUUAGGCCUCAGAGAUAGGAUGUCAGUCCCAGUGAGGGAUGGCCUAGAGCAUUCUUUAAUUCUUUCCUUUGGGUCACACAUAAGAAACAAUUUUCCAGCACUGAUGAGUGUUAUUAACAAUGAGAUGGGAUAGAAUUUAGUUUUCCCUAUGGCUGUGCUUCAAAAAUAGAAAAGCUGUCUUUUCUCUGGAAUGAUUGAAUGAAGCUCUGGGGAGGAAAAGGUGGAUUGGCAGAUCUCUUAAAGGAAGCUUCUCCUUCUAGGCACUAUUCUAAGGCUUAAUAUUUUAACUCCCUAUAUUAACCUAGUUCAACUAAACAGUGAUCUGAGUAAUUUUAUUUUUAUUAAAGCUCAGAUCAAAAUGCCAUUAACAUUGAUUGAGAAAAUCAAAGGAAUCUUUGAUGUGAGUGGUUAAAUUGCUGAAUUAUUUCAGUCCCAUACCCUCACAGCAUGAGUACCUGAUCUGAUAGACUUCUUUGGAAUUCCUUUUUUGUUUGAGACAGAGUCUUGCUCUGUCGCCCAGGCUGGAGUGCAGCGGUGUGAUCUCAACCAUUGCAACCUCCACCUCCCAGGUUCAAGUGAUUCUCAUGCCUCAGCCUCCUGAGUAGCUGGGAUUACAGAUGUGCACCACCAUGCCCGGCUAAUUAUUUUGUAUCUUUAGUAGAGAUGAAGUUUUGCCAUGUGGGCCAGGCUGUUCUCAAACUACUGGCCUCAAGUGAUCUGCCCGCCUCGGCCUCCCAGACUGCUGGGAUUACAGGCGUGAGGCACCGUGCCUGGCUGGGAUUCCAUAAUAAAUCCCUCUGUGUCUAUUUCUUUUUUCAAAUAUAAUUUUCUUCAUUUCCAAACAUCAUCUUUAAGACUCCAAGGAUUUUUCCAGGCACAGUGGCUCAUACCUGUAAUCCCAUUGCUUGGAGAGGCCAAGGUGGAAGUUCAUUUGAGGCCAGGAGUUCGAGACCAGGUGGGCAACAUAGUGAAACCUUGUCUCUACAACAUAAAAAAAAAAAUAAAA
ensembl:lncRNA HAND2-AS1 HAND2 antisense RNA 1